AGAGUUUGAUCAUGGCUCAGAACGAACGCUGGCGGCGUGCUUAACACAUGCAAGUCGCGUGCGCAGUUCCGUAGCAAUACGGGAUGGGCGCACGGCGCACGGGUGCGUAACACGUGGGCAAUCUGCCCUCUGAUGGGGAAUAACCCGCCGAAAGGCGGGCUAAUUCCGCAUAAGAUUCCCGGGACUUCGGUCCUGGGAUUGAAAGCAGUAAUGCGUCGGAGGAGGAGCCCGCGCCCGAUUAGCUAGUUGGUGAGGUAACGGCUCACCAAGGCAAUGAUCGGUAGCUGGUCUGAGAGGAUGAUCAGCCACACUGGAACUGAGACACGGUCCAGACUCCUACGGGAGGCAGCAGUGGGGAAUCUUGCACAAUGGGCGAAAGCCUGAUGCAGCGACGCCGCGUGGGGGAUGAAGCAUUUCGGUGUGUAAACCCCUUUCGACUGGGAAGAAUGCCUCGCAAGAGGAGUGACGGUACCAGUAGAAGAAGCCCCGGCUAACUACGUGCCAGCAGCCGCGGUAAGACGUAGGGGGCCAGCGUUGUUCGGAAUUACUGGGUGUAAAGGGUUCGUAGGCGGUGCGGCAAGUUGGGAGUGAAAUCUCUGGGCUUAACCCAGAGGCUGCUUCCAAAACUGCUGUGCUCGAGUGUGAGAGAGGCUCGUGGAAUUGCAGGUGUAGCGGUGAAAUGCGUAGAUAUCUGCAGGAACACCCGUGGCGAAAGCGGCGAGCUGGAUCACUACUGACGCUGAGGAACGAAAGCUAGGGGAGCAAACAGGAUUAGAUACCCUGGUAGUCCUAGCCCUAAACGAUCAGGACUUGGGGUGCCGCCCGUUCGGGCGUCGUCCCGGAGCUAACGCGUUAAGUCCUGCACCUGGGGAGUACGGUCGCAGACUGAACUCAAAGGAAUUGACGGGGCCCGCACAGCGGUGGAACAUGUGUUCAAUUCGACGCUACGCGAGAACCUUACCUGGGG
rnacentral:rRNA from 1 species